CAGUCACUGCCCCACAACUGGAGCCAGCAACUGGUUCAGAGGUGGCCAUGUGGCCCAACUUACAUCCAUGAUCUGGAAAGGGUCUGAAGGAUCUGCGCCCUGUGUUCAAGGACGACGCUGAAACAUUCUUUUCUGCGUGCCUGAUCUGAGGCCUCACAACUCAGGUGAGCAAGACUGUGUCCCUUUCACAUGGAGAAGCCGAGUUCCACGGAGGUUGAGUGAGGAGCCGGCAUCACACAAGGACUCGGAGGGGCUCCUCGAGACUCGCGGGACAGAGACGGCAGCCCCAGGAGCAUGAAGAGACUAUUCUCCAGUAUUCACAGUGAGAACUUGGUGGGCAUCCUGGAGGUAAAACACAAAAGUGUGAAGACCUUCUGAGACUGAGCACCCAAGAGUUUUAAACUGUCAAGUUUGUCUACACUGAGUCUCAACAAUUCAUGAAUUAUUACAUGUUUGUAUGUUGCUAAAAAUACUGGCUUCAUCUGUGGUCCUCUGAACCUGGGCUUUAGUUUCUAGAAUUGAGAAUAAAUUGUGAUUAUCUGUCUUUAA
ensembl:lncRNA novel transcript